rnacentral:rRNA from 1 species
CAUGCCAUAGAUACUGGUAAGACUAGUAUGCAGAUGAGGUAGCUGGAAUGUGUUAUGUAGCGGUGAAAUGCAUAGAUAUAACACAGAACACCAAUCGUGAAGACAGGUUACGAAAUGUGUAAUAGACGCUCAGGCACGAAAGCGUGGGGAUCGAAACAGGAUUAGAUACCCUGGUAGUCCACGCUGUAAACGAUGUAUCACUCGUUGUUGGCGAUAAACAGUCAGCGAGUUAGCGAAAGCGAUAAGUGAAUCACCUGGGGAGUACGGCUGGCAAGGUGAAAAUCAAAAGAAAUGACGGGGGCCCGCACCCAAGCGAGGGGACAUGUGGUUUUAUUUGAUGAUACGCGAGGAACCUUACCCCGGCUAGAAAAAGAUUGACCGGCUUUGAAACAACAUUUUAGUUGUAAGGCAACAUAUUAGGUGCUGCAUGGUUGUCGUCAGCUCGUGCCGUGAGGUGUCAGGUUAAGUCCCAUAACGAGCGCAACCCUCACUGUCAGUUGCCAGCAAGUAAAGUUGGGGACUCUGGAGGAACUGCCUGCGUAAGCCGUGAGGAAGGUGGGGAUGACGUCAAAUCAGCACGGCCUUUAUGUUCAGGGCUACACACGUGUUACAAUGGUCAAUACAGAGGGCAGCAAUUCGGUAACAAGGAGCGAAUCUUGAAAAUUGAUCUCAGUUCGGAUCGGAGUCUGCAACUCGC